rnacentral:lncRNA from 1 species
ACUUUUCUUUCCCUCAUUCUCUUCAGCUUAACUUUAGCGUGAGGCAUGGGUUGGGGCAACUCCCGGUUGUUUUCUACUUGCUUUCAAAGACAUAUUGGUCUAAUCAUGGACUCCUUUAGACCACCGUGACUCGUUAAUAUGGGGGUUCGUGAGACGCAAUCGAUGUUUUUAGUUUAGUCCAUGGAUUUUGCCUGAGAAGAGUCUUUUAGCUCGGUGUUAGCAUAGCUGCAUGCUAAAGAUACUUGGUGCUUGGAGAUGCACCCAAGCAUAAUGUCCAACUUAAAAGCAUCAGAAAUGGUUGACGAUGGCGCACUUUGACAACGGCAUUAUUCUAGAUCAUGGAAAAGGUGAUUGAAGAAUUAUGCAAAGAAGAAGCCCAGCAGAUGUAUGCCAAGACUGCGAACUGGGGUGGAACCAGAACAGUGAAGACUCUGACUUUAAAUUUGUGCUUUAUUAAAGUGUG